UGGGGCGUAGCCAAGCGGUAAGGCAACGGUUUUUGGUACCGUGACUCGCAGGUUCGAAUCCUGCCGCCCCAA
rnacentral:tRNA from 1 species